rnacentral:rRNA from 1 species
AACGAACGCUGGCGGCAGGCUUAACACAUGCAAGUCGAGCGCCCCGCACGGGGUUCGGCGGACGGGUGAGUAACGCAUGGGGAGGUACCCUUAUCUUUGGGAUAGCCUCGGGAAACUGGAAUUAUUACCGAAUGUGCCCUUUUGCGGGAAGGGAUAUCGGGUAAGGUUCGGGGCGCGUGAGAUUUGCGAGUGGGUAGGGUGAAGUCGUGGCAAAGCGACGUUCCAUUGCUGGGCUGAGAGGAUGAUCAGUCACAAUGGGACUGAGACCCGGCCCCAACUCCUACGGGAGGGAGCAGUGGGGAACAUUGGACGAUGGGCGCAAGCCUGACCCAGCCAUGCCGCGUGAGUGAUGAAGGGCUUAGGGUUGUAAAGCUCUUUCACCCGAGAAGAUAAUGACGGUAACCGGAGAAGAAGCCCCGGCUAACUUCGUG